UAGGAAUUAGGCUCCUCGCGGGAUUUUGUAAUGGACAAUGGUAAAGAGUAAUCGUAAAAGCUGUGUGUGAUUCUGUCCCAGUUACAUGUGGUUCUGUAGCCUCUGGAGACACUAGAUUACCGAGAGUCUGGGCAGUUGACUGACAUGGCAGGCACUUCCAUCUAUCCAGUUACAGAGAAGGCCUCCUUGUUCCACGCAGCAGUCAGUUGCUGCUUUGCUCCUCUCAUUUGGGGCAGUGCACCAGCUCUCAGAGAAGAAAGCAGCCAGCGACAGCCAGCACAGUCUUCCCA